CAACAAAAUAUGAAGAUAGAUUCAGAUACACUCACAGCAGCAGUAGUUUCUGAAUGUUCAUGAUCAACAACUACUCUGAAACGAAGGUAUUUGGGCUUAAGUCAAAAAGCAGUACUCUGGUGAUAUUUUAGAAGCAGUUGAAUCUUUGCUGGGGAGAUUGGUUAAGCAAGCGGAGUCUGGUGAUACUUCUGGUGAUAUUUAGUCUUUGCUUCCCUGUUUUUCAAUGCCUCUGUCAGUUGACACAAACUAGGUUACCCAUCCAUUUAUAAACAUCAACA